CCUACAGGAGGCUGCAGUGGGGAAUAUUGGACAAUGGGGGGAACCCUGAUCCAGCCAUGCCGCGUGUGUGAAGAAGGCCCUUGGGUUGUAAAGCACUUUCAGUGAGGAAGAACGCCUGGUGGUUAAUACCCAUCAGGAAAGACAUCACUCACAGAAGAAGCACCGGCUAACUCCGUGCCAGCAGCCGCGGUAAUACGGAGGGUGCGAGCGUUAAUCGGAAUUACUGGGCGUAAAGCGCGCGUAGGUGGCUUGAUAAGCCGGUUGUGAAAGCCCCGGGCUCAACCUGGGAACGGCAUCCGGAACUGUCAAGCUAGAGUGCAGGAGAGGAAGGUAGAAUUCCCGGUGUAGCGGUGAAAUGCGUAGAGAUCGGGAGGAAUACCAGUGGCGAAGGCGGCCUUCUGGACUGACACUGACACUGAGGUGCGAAAGCGUGGGUAGCAAACAGGAUUAGAUACCCUAGUAGUC
rnacentral:rRNA from 1 species